AACGAACGCUGGCGGCAGGCUUAACACAUGCAAGUCGAACGCCCCGCAAGGGGAGUGGCAGACGGGUGAGUAACGCGUGGGAAUCUACCCAGUUCUACGGAAUAACCCAGGGAAACUUGGACUGAUACCGUAUACGCCCUACGGGGGAAAGAUUUAUCGGAAUUGGAUGAGCCCGCGUUGGAUUAGCUAGUUGGUGGGGUAAUGGCCUACCAAGGCGACGAUCCAUAGCUGGUCUGAGAGGAUGAUCAGCCACACUGGGACUGAGACACGGCCCAGACUCCUACGGGAGGCAGCAGUGGGGAAUAUUGGACAAUGGGCGCAAGCCUGAUCCAGCCAUGCCGCGUGAGUGAUGAAGGCUUUAGGGUUGUAAAGCUCUUUCAGUGGGGACGAUAAUGACGGUACCCACAGAAGAAGCCCCGGCUAACUUCGUGCCAGCCGCCGCAGUAA
rnacentral:rRNA from 1 species